GCUCAUUAAAUCAGUUAUCGUUUAUUUGAUAGUACCUUACUACUUGGAUAACCGUGGUAAUUCUAGAGCUAAUACAUGCUAAAAACCCCAACUUCGGGAGGGGUGUAUUUAUUAGAUAAAAAACCAAUGCCCUUCGGGGCUCCUUGGUGAUUCAUGAUAACUUCUCAGAUCGCAUGGCUUUACGCCGGCGACGGUUCAUUCAAAUUUCUGCCCUAUCAACUUUCGAUGGUAAGGUAGUGGCUUACCAUGGUUUCAACGGGUAACGGGGAAUUAGGGUUCGAUUCCGGAGAGGGAGCCGGAGGAACGGCUACCACAUCCAAGGAAGGCAGCAGGCGCGCAAAUUACCCAAUUCCGAUACGGAGAGGUAGUGACAAUAAAUACUGAUACAGGGCUCUUUUGGGUCUUGUAAUUGGAAUGAGUACAAUUUAAACCUCUUAACGAGGAACAAUUGGAGGGCAAGUCUGGUUAAAGUUGUUGCAGUUAAAAAGCUCGUAGUUGAACCUUUGGCCUGGCUGGCAGGUCCGCCUCACCGCGUGCACUUGUCCGGCCGGGCCUUUUCUUCUGGAGAACCGCAUGCCCUUCACUGGGUGUGUUGGGGACCAGGACUUUUACUUUGAAAAAAUUAGAGUGUUCAAAGCAGGCCUUUGCUCGAAUACGUUAGCAUGGAAUAAUAGAAUAGGACGUGCGGUCCUAUUUUGUUGGUUUCUAGGACCGCCGUAAUGAUUAAUAGGGACAGUCGGGGGCAUCAGUAUUCAAUUGUCAGAGGUGAAAUUCUUGGAUUUAUUGAAGACUAACUACUGCGAAAGCAUUUGCCAAGGAUGUUUUCAUUAUCAGUGAACGAAAGUUAGGGAUCGAGACGAUCAGAUACGUCGUAGUCUACAUAAACUAUGCGACUAUGAUCGG
rnacentral:rRNA from 1 species